rnacentral:pre_miRNA from 1 species
GGCAGAUCCAGAAUAAGAACAAAUUGGGCAAUGAAGGUGUAAAAGAAAAGAUCUUCCAUACACAAACCAUUGGAAUCCUUCUUAUUCUGCAAUUGGAUUGGGCAAUGAA